GCCUCGUUGGAAAGAUGGUUGAUGACCUCUCCUUCUUCCGUCAUACUCCGUAGAGCUAAUCGGCUUUUUUCUUUCUUUUUUUUGGAUCCCUAAAGUUUUAAUAUUUUUUUCUAACUUUCCACUCAAUUUUUCUGCUCCCAAGACUUAUUCCCAGAUCUCCUAUUUAUAGAUGAAUUUUCACCUUUUUUGAUAGAAAAAAAAUCUUAAAACCCUUGAAAAACGUAUUUUAUCCGUAGAAAUUUUUCUGACCGUCGGAUCAGCUUUGGACCUCUCAGUUCUAUCCAAAAUCUGAUGUUUAAAUCUUUAUCAGGAUCGGAUUCCACCACAACCGUCCGAUCGCACUCCAGAUUGAAUUCUGACCAUUGGAUGGCGCCAAAUCACUCCUUAACAAAAUCGGGAACGAUGACAGCCGUCGGAUCUCGCGAUGGAUAGAAUCUGGACCGUCGAAUCGCGCAAAAUCAUCUCAGCCUACUGUGAGCCGUGCUUGUAAACCGCGAAAGGUUUCCUAUGGAUCGCGUCCUGAUUCUGUAGACCGAGCUACCGGUCCACCAUGCACCGAAGGCUAUUUUUAAAAUUUUUUACGAUACUUUGGCUCGACUUUUUACUCUG
rnacentral:lncRNA from 1 species